CAGCAGCCGCGGUAAUACGUAGGUGGCAAGCGUUGUCCGGAAUUAUUGGGCGUAAAGGGCUCGCAGGCGGUUUCUUAAGUCUGAUGUGAAAGCCCCCAGCUCAACCGGGGAGGGUCAUUGGAAACUGGGAAACUUGAGUGCAGAAGAGGAGAGUGGAAUUCCACGUGUAGCGGUGAAAUGCGUGGAGAUGUGGAGGAACACCAGUGGCGAAGGCGACUCUCUGGUCUGUAACUGACGCUGAGGAGCGAAAGCGUGGGGAGCGAACAGGAUUAGAUACCCCAGUAGUCCCUGUCUCUUAUAC
rnacentral:rRNA from 1 species